rnacentral:rRNA from 1 species
GAUGAAUGCUGGCGGCGUGCCUAAUACAUGCAAGUCGUACGGAAAGGCCCUUCGGGGUACUCGAGUGGCGGACAGCUGAGUAACGCGUGGGAACGUGCCCCAAAGUGAGGGAUAACGCACCGAAAGGUGUGCUAAUACCGCAUAUGGUCUUCGGAUUAAAGCUUCGGCGCUUUGGGAGCGGCCCGCGUACGAUUAGAUAGUUGGUAGGGUAAUGGCCUACCAAGUCGACGAUCGUUAGCUGGUCUGAGAGGAUGAUCAGCCAGACUGGAACUGAGACACGGUCCAGACUCCUACGGGAGGCAGCAGUAAGGAAUCUUCCACAAUGGGGGCAACCCUGAUGGAGCAACGCCGCGUGCAGGAUGAAGGCCCUCGGGUCGUAAACUGCUUUUAUGAGUGAAGAAUAUGACGGUAACUCAUGAAUAAGCACCGGCUAACUACGUGCCAGCCGCCGCCGUAA